rnacentral:rRNA from 1 species
CUCCCAUGGCGCCUGUUUAUCAAAAACAUGGUUGCUUGAUGUUAUAAGGAAUCUGGCCUGCUCACUGCUCAGGUAAAGAGCCGCAGUAAUAUGACUGUGCUAAGGUAGCAUAAUCAUUUGUCUUUUGAAUGAAGUCUGGAAUGAAAGGUUGGAUCGAAGGAGACACUGUCUCUUUAUUAAAUAGUGAAUUUAAUUAGUAAGUAAAAAGGCUGGACAUGAAUCUGAAAGACGAUAAGACCCUAUUAAGCUUGAUUUAAUAAUUUUACUGGGGCGGUAGGAUAAGAAUAAAAUCUUAUUUGUUAUGAAUUGAAGAUUUUGACCCAAUAUUAUUGAGGGUAGGAUAAAGUUACUAUAGGGAUAACAGCUUAAUUUCCUCUUGAAGACCUUAUUUAGGAGGGAGUUUGAGACCUCGAUGUUGAAUUAAAAUGUUAUAUAUACGUAGUAGUCUAUAUUGUAAGUCUGUUCGACUUUUAAAAUUUUACGUGAUCUGAGUUCAGACCGGCCAUGG